CACCGCGGUUAUACGAGAGACCCCAGUUGAUAGGCACGGCGUAAAGAGUGGUUAGGAAAUUUAAUUAAUAAAGUCAAAUAACCUUUAGGCCGUUGCACGUAUUCUGAGAACAUGAAGCCCCACUACGAAAGUAACUUUACCACCUCCGACCCCACGAAAGCUAAGAAA
rnacentral:rRNA from 2 species